AGCUUUGCACAGUGGCAAUAUGGUAGCUAGGUAUAAUUAUUGCUAUUUGAAACAUUUUUCCAAUAUCCCUCUGUGAUGACUUGCAAUAUUGUUGGCAUUGGCAAUUUUUGAUAAUCUCUAUAGAGA
rnacentral:snRNA from 1 species